AUCAGCUUAGGCUUGUCUACUGAAAAUCAUAUAAACAUAUGUACCUACCUAUCCUAUGAGCUUCUAAACAUUUUUUCCCUUAUGCCAAAGAAAACAUCUUUGGCAUGAGGGAAAAAAUGUUUAGAAGCUCAUAGAAUAGAUAGGUACAUAU
rnacentral:pre_miRNA from 1 species